UACGAGCUAGUCAAUGCGAUUACUCCUAAAUUGGAAUAUCGGAAUACUGGUGAAGA
ncrna:Lactobacillus acidophilus NCFM Transposase-1 RNA